GGACAUUUCCACAAUAAAACACUCUAAAAUAUUUUUUUUAAGAUUUCCUUUCUAGUCAUGUCAAGAUUAUAACUCAAAUCUGCAAGAGUCAGGAAAUUCCAAAUUUAUGUUGACACUUUCCCCUUAAAGCCCUCACCAGAUGAUAAACAGUGUAAAAAAUUCUGUCCCAAUUCAAAUGUUCCAAAUAUGACACGGGUUGCUAGGUUCUUGUCGUGAAAAGGUGCUUCGGGGUGAGAAAGAAUAGGCCUUUUAAGAAGCAAAUAGAAUCUUUCAGGCAAAUAAUUUUUCUAAAUGAUUUCUUAAUAUAGAAGGUGAAGUAAUCAUUUCAGAUGGGUCACCUCCUGGAUUGCAUUUUUGCAGACGGAACAGAAUCAAAUUCUGUGAUGGAAACCAAUGAGACGGUAGUGGAAUUUACCUGUGAAAUCAGCGGUCCUCAAGGCUCUGGGCUCUACCUGGAUCCUACACUCUUACCGGAAGACCUUGAUAUUGAUCAAUCAGGAAAUUCACAGAAUCUACAAAUCUGUAACUGAGGCCAAGAUUAUUUUCAAGUCUGAUGAUACAGAUGACAACUAUUUCAACACCAAUCUGAGUCCCAAAGAGUCAAGCCCCCCCCCCUUCCUACUGUUGCCACCACCGCAGCAAGGAGAUGCCCAACCCCUGUGCCCCUUGGCGUCUGACCCCAGACUGACUUGACCACACUGCCGUCUGCCUCCAUCAUGCUGAUAUACUUGGAUGUCGGCAGAGCUGGUAAAUAUUUGCCCGUGCAGGAGACAGCAAGUGGCGGUUUCUGCACAGGAGAGGCGAUGAGGCAACUCAUCCCCUUGUGUCAAUAGCGUGAAACCAAUAAUGGCAGUGUGCGAUGAUGGCACGCUACCUGUUAGAUUCAGACAAGGGAGCUACCAAUGGCCGUGACCUCCAGACUCCACGGCUGCGCCUUUGGAGUAGCCGGCACAGAGCAGGGUGCUUCCUGCCCUGGAUGUCAGCUCUUCCCUGCGUUCUGCUGCCCUUCACCCCCUGGCUCGGCUGAACUUCAAGAUCACUGCAGCGACAUUUUAAUUUUUCCCAAGAGGGUGUAGGAAUCAAAUGUGUCCACUCUUGAUCUCUGGGCUGUGAGUUCAAGUCCUUCGAUGGGUGUAGAGAUUACGUAAAAAGAAAAUCUUUAAUAAUGAUAAUAAUAAUAAAAUAAAUGUGUCCAUUACUUUGUCGUUAUUCCGGCUGCUUGUUACCUCCGUCUUGGGACUCUCUGUGAGAAGAAAGGAGCCAGGGAAGAAGAGAACCUCAGAUGAAUAGGAGGAAGCAGAACUGGACUGCUGGCAGAUGUUAGAAGCAUACAACGCCCAGUUGAGCCAAGUGCCCCAGAAUUACAUGUCUGAGAUGGGGGGCGGGGGCAGGAGCAGGGGAACUUAG